UACGUAGGGUGCAAGCGUUGUCCGGAAUUAUUGGGCGUAAAGAGCUCGUAGGCGGUCUGUCGCGUCUGCUGUGAAAACUCAGGGCUUAACCCUGAGCUUGCAGUGGGUACGGGCAGACUAGAGUGCGGUAGGGGAGACUGGAAUUCCUGGUGUAGCGGUGAAAUGCGCAGAUAUCAGGAGGAACACCGGUGGCGAAGGCGGGUCUCUGGGCCGUAACUGACGC
rnacentral:rRNA from 1 species